rnacentral:misc_RNA from 1 species
CCAAUAGCGUAUAUUAAAGUUGUUGCAGUUAAAAAGCUCGUAGUUGAAUUUCGGGAUUAGUACGUUGGUCGUGCCUUCGGUACGUACUGGUGUUACUGAUUCCUACCUUCUGACGAACCAUCAUGUCAUUAAUUUGGUGUGGCGGGGAAUCAGGACUGUUACUUUGAAAAAAUUAGAGUGUUUAAAGCAGGCUCGCGCUUGAAUACAUUAGCAUGGAAUAAUGAAAUAGGACGUUGACCCUAUUUUGUUGGUUUCUAGGAUUGACGUAAUGAUUAAUAGGGAGAGUUGGGGGCAUUAGUAUUCAAUUGUCAGAGGUGAAAUUCUUGGAUUUAUUGAAGACUAACUACUGCGAAAGCAUUUGCCAAGGAUGUUUUCAUUAAUCAAGAACGAAAGUUAGGGGAUCGAAGACGAUCAGAUACCGUCGUAGUCUUAACCAUAAACUAUGCCGACUAGGGAUCGGAUGAUGUUAUUUUUAAUGACUCAUUCGGCGCCUUACG